GUUGUAAUGUCUGGGAAACUGCCCGAUGGAGGGGGAUAACUACUGGAAACGGUAGCUAAUACCGCAUAACGUCUUCGGACCAAAGUGGGGGACCUUCGGGCCUCACACCAUCGGAUGUGCCCAGAUGGGAUUAGCUAGUAGGUGGGGUAAUGGCUCACCUAGGCGACGAUCCCUAGCUGGUCUGAGAGGAUGACCAGCCACACUGGAACUGAGACACGGUCCAGACUCCUACGGGAGGCAGCAGUGGGGAAUAUUGCACAAUGGGCGCAAGCCUGAUGCAGCCAUGCCGCGUGUAUGAAGAAGGCCUUCGGGUUGUAAAGUACUUUCAGUGGGGAGGAAGGCGUUAAGGUUAAUAACCUUGACGAUUGACGUUACCCGCAGAAGAAGCACCGGCUAACUCCGUGCCAGCAGCCGCGGUAAUACGGAGGGUGCAAGCGUUAAUCGGAAUUACUGGGCGUAAAGCGCACGCAGGCGGUCUGUCAAGUCGGAUGUGAAAUCCCCGGG
rnacentral:rRNA from 1 species